rnacentral:rRNA from 1 species
AUUGAACGCUAGCGGGAUGCUUUACACAUGCAAGUCGAACGGCAGCGCGGACUUCGGUCUGGCGGCGAGUGGCGGACGGGUGAGUAAUGUCUCGGAACGUGCCCAGUAGUGGGGGAUAACUACGCGAAAGCGUAGCUAAUACCGCAUACGCCCUACGGGGGAAAGCAGGGGAUCUUAAGACCUUGCACUAUUGGAUCAGCCUAUAUCGGAUUAGCUAGUUGGUGAGGUAACGGCUUACCAAGGCGACGAUCCGUAGCUGGUUUGAGAGGACGACCAGCCACACUGGAACUGAGACACGGCCCAGACUCCUACGGGAGGCAGCAGUGGGGAAUAUUGGACAAUGGGGGAAAGCCUGAUCCAGCCAUGCCGCGUGUGUGAAGAAGGCCUUCGGGUUGUAAAGCACUUUUGGUAGGGAAGAAGCGCAGUAAGCUAAUACCCCGUGGAAUUGACGGUACCUGCAGAAUAAGCACCGGCUAACUACGUG